rnacentral:rRNA from 1 species
UGAGCAAUCUGCCCUUCACAUCGGAAUAACCAUUGGAAACGAUGGCUAAUACCGAAUAUGACUUCGGAUCGCAUGAUCUGAAGUGGAAAGCUCCGGCGGUGAAGGAUGAGCUCGCGGCCUAUCAGCUUGUUGGUGAGGUAAUAGCUCACCAAGGCGAUGACGGGUAGCCGGCCUGAGAGGGUGACCGGCCACACUGGGACUGAGACACGGUNAGA